CAUUAAGACCUCUUACGUCUGGGCGGCGCGGAGACUACAUUUCCCAGAGGGCCUCGCGCGGCGCGGGCUUGGCGGGGGCGGGGAAAAGGAAGCGCCUCGGAGCCAGUGCGCAGGCGUGAGAGUCCCCGCUGGCUACUUAAGGGAGGCUCGCUCGCUGUUCUUCCUUUCGCGUCUGCGGCGCUCUCUCUUCUUUGUGGUGUGCCGUCUGUUCCUCAUCCGAUGUCGUCUCAACCCUGGAAUCAGAAUUUGCUACUGUACGUGAUUUGCGUGAUCAGACGCUACAGAAUGAAUCUUGGCGGAGGGGUCCCUGCUGGGGCUCCAAGGGAACCACGUGUCGACAGGCAGAACCUUCAGCUUCCUGACGUCUGGAGCUCACUGUUGGCAGCAAACAGGCAUUGAAUGGACCGUGAUGGAUCCAGGACUGGGAGAGAAUUUGACCAGAGCCCUGUGUACAUCAGGGCCUACAUAGGUUGAUGGCUGCCUGAUUUCAGUUUGGUUCAGUUCUGUAAUAGAAAUUUCAGCUGUGGAGUCAGAAUGCAAGGCCUCUUGAGAAAGAUGUACAUUUACUUCUGAGAAAGCAUGAAGAUUUGGGUUGUUGUGUAACCUGAGUGUCCAGAGGUAAAAAGCUUGUGGCUGUUGUGAAAAAUGUAGUGUUAUAGUAAAUUUUGGUUAUUAAGGUUUUAACUUUGUAGCCUUCCUGUCUGGAGAAAUAAAAUCCUUUAAAUGAAAA